GAUGAACGCUAGCGGCAGGCCUAACACAUGCAAGUCGAGGGGUAGAAGGAGCUUGCUCCUUUGAGACCGGCGCACGGGUGCGUAACGCGUAUGCAAUCUACCUUGUACAGGGGAAUAGCCCAGAGAAAUUUGGAUUAAUGCCCCAUAGUAUAUAACCUUCGCAUGUUGGUUAUAUUAAAGUUCCAACGGUACAAGAUGAGCAUGCGUCCCAUUAGUUAGUUGGUAAGGUAACGGCUUACCAAGACGAUGAUGGGUAGGGUCCUGAGAGGGAGAUCCCCCACACUGGUACUGAGACACGGACCAGACUCCUACGGGAGGCAGCAGUGAGGAAUAUUGGUCAAUGGUCGCAAGACUGAACCAGCCAUGCCGCGUGCAGGAAGACGGUCCUAUGGAUUGUAAACUGCUUUUAUACAGGAAGAAACCCUCCCACGUGUGGGAGCUUGACGGUACUGUAGGAAUAAGGAUCGGCUAACUCCGUGCCAGCAGCCGCGGU
rnacentral:rRNA from 1 species